UCUCAACCCUCCACCUUUCACCCAAAAUCUCAGCCUCCCAUCAGAACCCCGGUAUUCCAAAAUCAUGAAAAUACCCCUACCUCCCAUAUAGAUUCGACAUCAACUCUUUAUUCGCCCUAAUCAAGGAGAAAGAUCCGAAGGAGAGACUAUUCAUCUCCCCCUUCGUUCGAACCCAACCCAGGCGGUAGUGAACCCAGAUCGAUUUCCAUCUCCGGCUUCCCUCACCCACUUUCUUCUCCUUCUUCUUCCCCCAUCCCCCAUUUUUCUCUCUCUCCCUCUGUUUUGUCAUCGCCACUGUAAAUUAAGGCGGCAAUAGAUCUGAACCCGACUCCGCCUCUUUCGCCGAUCUCUCGUUUUCUCUAUAUGUUCUUUUUUUUUUUCUCUUCUUCUUCUCGGAAACCCCCCAAAAUUGACCAUUCACCAUCUCCUCCCUUCGAGUAACAGAGAGCGGCGACAACCUCUAAUCUGGUUCUCUCUUUCUCUCGCUCUCAUUCUCUUUUCUUCCUCUUCUCUAUUCUUUGUCUACUACUUCUUCUUCUUCUUCUUUCAGAAUUUAUCGAAGCUCACUGCUAAUCGUCUUUGACCUAUGGAGGACGACGAGCACAAGAUUCUCGGUAACAAUGACAGCACACUUUUAAAGUGCCACCAUCUUUGCUAAUUUCCUCGGGUUAUGAUCUGGGACUGAAACCGAGUAUGCUACCCUCUGUGUUCGUCGUUCACGAAGUCAAAUUGAACGCCUAACACGUUUGAUGUUCGACUCCCAUUCUAUACUGAAAUUCGAAGCCCGUUUUCCUUUAGCAAAUCUUUCCAGAGUAGUCCACUCAAGUUCGACUGAACCUCCCAGUUACAGCAUCGAUAGAAUUCAGACCAAAGUCUCAUCCGGAACCUUCCAUCAACAUUCAACAUCGGCAAGGACAACUUAGGCAUGGAGCCCAAAUUGUACACCACCAAAUGCAGAAGCAUGCAUAGAACUGUCUGGGUGUAAUGCAGAAAGUGUUCAAGAUGCAGUAGCCCCCCAAGUUCGUUACCGGUUAUUGAUCAAGCCCCAAAUUCAUGUAAUAUGUCAAAUUUUGGUUUUGGGGCCUGCUGGAAAAGGGAUAAUUUGAAGGAACAUGACAACUAAACCACUUGGUCAAUGAUAUGGGUGAGCAUAACACCUAUCCACAAGUUCAUGAUAUUGGUCCUAGUAGUGCACUUCUCAUUGAUUCAGAGAGUCCCUAGCGUAACUAGCAUACUUGGUCAAAGUGAAUCACCAGGUCUACCUAAUAUUACAAAAGUGCAAAUGUUGCAUCCUUGUCUUCCCAGGUUCCUCAACUAGAUCAGAAAAUUAUGAAUUGGGACCGGUAUUGCUCAUGGUAAGAGGGGACAGUAAUUUCAGCACAUGGUUCCACAUUGUGCAAGUAUUGUUGCCUCGCAUGCAGUCAGCUGAUGACAAAUUGGUUGACAAUGCUCUGAAUAGUACUCAAGUCGAUAUUGAAGUUUUGAAGAUCUUGCAAAUCCCACCGUUGCUGGCCAAAGCGAAGAUAUUCUUGAUGUGGCAUUAACUAGCCAUAAUGUCAAUGCAAAUCCCAAUGUGUUUCAUGGGGGGCUUACUUAUAGAAUUGAACCCUGUCCUUAAAAGGAUGAUAGUAUUGAAGAUCACCCUCGCAUUGUGCCAGCAAGAUUUGCUUCUGCACAGUAUAAUUAUGUUGACGAACUGAAUGUCAAGACAUGACUCACGUUUCA